rnacentral:rRNA from 1 species
UACAGAGGGUGCAAGCGUUGUUCGGAAUUAUUGGGCGUAAAGCGCGUGUAGGCGGCUUUGUAUGUCGGGUGUGAAAACUCAGGGCUUAACCCUGAGCUUGCAGUGGGUACGGGCAGACUAGAGUGCGGUAGGGGAGACUGGAAUUCCUGGUGUAGCGGUGGAAUGCGCAGAUAUCAGGAGGAACACCGAUGGCGAAGGCAGAUCUCUGGGCCGUAACUGACGCUGAGGAGCGAAAGCGUGGGGAGCGAACAGG